GACGAAGGGGGCUAGCGUUGUUCGGAAUUACUGGGCGUAAAGCGAGUGUAGGUGGUUGUCCAAGUUGGAUGUGAAAGCCUUGAGCUCAACUCAAGAAAUGCAUUCAGGACUGGGCGGCUAGAGGACCGGAGAGGAUAGUGGAAUUCCCAGUGUAGUGGUGAAAUACGUAGAGAUUGGGAAGAACACCAGUGGCGAAGGCGGCCUUCUGGACAGUGACUGACGCUGAGACGCGAAAGCGUGGGGAGCAAACAGG
rnacentral:rRNA from 1 species